UUUUUGUCGAAUUGUUCGCAAAUUUUUGAUACAGAGCCUAAACAUCAGUAUUUUUUUCCUUUCUAGAUUUCUUUAGUUUAAUUCAUUGUUCUUCUUUUAGUCAUAUUUUUCUUUUAUUUGAUCAGUGGUUGUCGGUAUUGUCGUUUUUUCAGUCUAUAUUCAGUUUAUGUGUUUUCAGUCUAUUAUUCACUUUAUCAUUUCAGUUUCUGAGUCUUCAUUUUAUUUUCUUCAUCAUUCAGAUCCCAUGGAUUGAUUGAGGUUUCAGUGGCGUCGAGUCACACCAUUAUCAGAUACAUGCUGUGAAAUCAUAUUUUGCGUGGGGCGCCAACAAGCCUGCGGCGGUGCUCAAGCGGUGUCACUUUCAGUGGCUAUAGCAGCCAAAAACCAAAAGCCCUCUAUAUUCUGAUGGCAAAGCUGAUGCAUGUAUCCGACGGGGCAUCACAUAAAUUAGCAUUCAAGGUAGGUUCCAGUCAGCAGAUCGGGUGGGACGGUAUGGCUGGAAUACGCUUGGUAACAGGGAGGAUUACCACUGCUGUGUACAAGACCUCCAAGGAAGACCACCGUCAGUAAGCUACGAGAACAAGGGCCAUUAAUUUUUUGCAAGUGGAGAUGCAACCAUUGGAAACCAGAACGAUGAUGCUACUUCGGCGAAUGAGACUGGGACAGGCUCGCCGGAUUGUUGGCGCCAAAGAAGCGAAAAGAGAUUGUUCGCGCCAAACUAGCCGAGAGAAGGCGCCGUACCACCAUGGUGUUGCGGAACUAAAUGUGUGUGGGAAUUAUGCACUUAUUAGUUGUAUGUUGUUUUCAGGCUUACUGUAUGUGUUUGUAUGCUGUAGUCUUGGUAAUGGCAACCUGGCUUGUUUAUGAGUUAGAAAAAACUCCUUCAGGUGUCUGUUGAACCUGAUAUCAAUCUUGUAUGAAUGGUGUAUAUCUGCUUGCGGAAUGGUGCGGCGAUUUCUGAAUUUUUUGGACAGUAUCCUUGUGCAUAAA